AUGGCAAAUAGGGAAGCAUUCCUGGAGAUGUCCUUGAGUGAAGUCUCCAAAACGAAAAAAGAAAGGGAUGGAUCUCCAAGAAAAAUGAACUCCAUGUGCAAAGGCAAACACGAAACAUGGCAUCUCAGUAUUUCUGAAAGGCAAAGUUCAAGACGGAUCUGGAAGGAAGCCAAGUUUGCAGGCAUUGUCAUGGUGCAAAGGGGUUUAACUGAAGAGGAUGAUGGUUGCCUGGCAUAUACAUUCCCCACCCGCUGUGUUCAAAUAGGAAGAUCUAAAGAGCCUCUUGAGGAAAGUGAAAGAGGAGAGUGAAAAAGUUGGCUUAAAGAUCAACAUUCAGAAAACAAAGAUUAUGGCAUCUGGUCCCAUCACUUCAUGGGAAAUAGAUGGGGAAACAGUGGCUGACUUUAUUUUGGGGGGCUCCAAAAUCACUACAGAUGGUGACUGCAGCCAUGAAAUUAAAAGAUGCUUACUCCUUGGAAGGAAAGUUAUGACCAACCUAGAUAGCAUAUUAAAAAGCAGAGACAUUACUUUGUCAACAAAGGUCUGUCUAGUCAAGGCUAUGGUUUUUCCAGCGGUCAUUGAGAGUUGGACUAUAAAGAAAGCUGAGUAUUGAAGAAUUGAUGCUUUUGAACUGUGGUGUUGGAGAAGACUCUUGAGAGUCCCUUGGACUGCAAGGAGAUCCAACCAGUCCAUCCUAAAGGAAAUCAGUCCUGAAUAUUCAUUGGAAGGACUGAUGCUGAAGCUGAAACUCCAAUAAUUUGGCCACCUGUUACGAAGAGCUGACUCAUUUGAAAAGACCCUGAUGCUGGGAAAGAUUAAGGGCAGGAGGAGAAGGGGAUGACAGAGGAUGAGAUGGUUGGAUGGCAUCACCGACUCAAUGGACAUGGGUUUGGGUGGACUCUGGGAGUUGGUGAUGGACAGGGAGGCCUGGCAUGCUACAGUUCAUGGGGUCGCAAAGAGUCAGACACGACUGAGUGACUGAACUGAACUGAUAGCCCCUCAGACACUGCCCAGCACCAGGUUUUGAGUUUGGUUCCAAACCAUCGAUAUGCAAAGAGCACACAAAAAUGGAAAAGUUUCUAAUAUUUUCCAUGUCAGAAGAUACUUUCGAUGUGGUAUAGAUUUUUCAUUUCUCUGGAAUUCCUUGUAAAAUAUUUUACAUAUUUUAGACAACCCUAUUGAAAUGUUCAAAUGGAUCUUUAGCUCAGAUUUCUUUUAUUUUCACUGAUAGCCUCUAUAUAUUCAAAUCAGAUAGGACAACAUGGUAGAAGGAACUAUAUUCAAUAUCCUAUAGUAAAGUAAAGUAAAUGUCGCUCAGUCGUGUCUGACUCUUUGCGACGCCAUGGACUGUAGCGUACCAGGUUCCUCCGUCCAUGGGAUUUUCCAGGCAAGAAUACUGGAGUGGGUUGCCAUUUCCUUCUCCAGGGGAUCUUCCCAACCCAGGGAUUGAACCCAGGUCUCCCACGUUGUAGGCAGACGCUUUAUCAUCUGAGCCACCAGGGAAGUCACCACAAUAAGCCAUAAUAGAAAAUAAUAUGGAAAAGCAUAUGUGUGUGUGUGUGUGUGUGUGUGUGUGUAUAACUGAGUCCCUUUGCUGUGCAGAAAUUAAGACAUUAUUGUCAAUCAACUCUACUUCAAUAAAAUAAGAUUUUAAAAAAUCAAAAAGGAAAAUAAAAGGCAAAAGGCUCUUAGGGUAAACACAUGAUAACAUUAGCCAAGAAUGUCAAGAAUAGCUGCCCUGUUCUGUCAAACAGAAAUGAGGCCAGACAGUUAUUUCACUGGUUUUACAUUCCUCCCCCUGCCCCCCAACAAAUCUAAUCUCACCCUGGUGUUCCCAGUCUAGGCCAGCAGGAAGACAGGCUAAAUGUGGAGGGCAGAGAUGCAGAUAGACUGGCUCUGUGCCCAGGAGGCCAGGUCAGGAUGAAAAUCAAUAUUUCAAUAGCUCAGGAUUAGGAAACACACAUAUCAAAUCUUGUCCAUUAAGGACACAAACAUUAAAACCACAGACAUCCUGUACCUCACACAGACUGAUAGGGAUGAAGCGUUUGACUCAUCGCAGAAAUGUAUCCAUUAUUCUUGUACUUUUCCAACUCGUACAACUUGUAUAAAAAACUUCUCAGAAUGAGACUGAGGCUGCUCAGAAGACUGCCAUGAAUAAGCUCUUAAGGACCCUGAUAAGCAGCUUUUUGGGGGUGAAGGGAAGGCAGAGCAGGGCUCUUAAAUGUGGUUGUGUUAUCUGGAAAAUAAAAGUCAUACUGUAGAGUACAGGGAAUUCUGCUCAGUGUUAUGUGGCAGCCUGGAUGGGAGGGGAGUUGGGGGCAGAAUAUGUAUGGCUGAGUCCCUUUGCUGUCCACCUUAAACUGUCACAACAUAGUUAAUCAACUCUACCCCAAUACAAAAUAAAAAAUUUAAAAGAAAAGUCACAGAAAUCUGAGAGAGAAUAUGGCUUGGAUAGGGAGCAGCCUUUGCUCAGAUCUGAACACACCUCCCUGGGUUCCCCCGCCCUGUCCCUCUCAUCCAAACCUUUGGAAAAUCCAGGCAACUCAAAGUGAGUCCCAGUCAGUUGGUACCUUUCCCUUUUGUAUCAAAGGAAAAGCGCUGAAAGCACAGUUAUGAUUCAUAUCAGCUCACACACUGGGAUGUGCAUCUGCAGGUCUAACUGGGGGGGAUUUCACUUGGACCUUUUUUUCCCCUCAAAAAUGAUGAAUGAAAGCAACUGUAUUUCGAAAAGGGGUUUUCCUCUAGGACAGAUUAUGCCGGUGGUGGCCUAGGGCACACUCAGCCACGUGGUGUUGGUUUUCCGGGGCACGCCUCACUCGACGACUUCCAGGUGUCUGGGAAAAGAGAAGAAAUCUCAAGAAAGGGUGGGGAGGGGGCGGCGGGCAAGUGCAGAGUCUCAAAGAUCUAAUUGCAACUUUGACAAGCAGAUCAAAGGAGUCUCUCCUUGGUCUUUGAUCUCUUGAUAACCGCGUUUAGCACCCUCCCCUGGCUGUGCCUGGGGCAGGCAGCCCUCCUUCCUAACUCCCUCAGCUCUUUCAGCUUUAAAUAAUUCAACUGCUAAGCACUUUCAAAGGUGGGUGGAAAUAAGCAAAUGCUUUAAGAUCCAACUCAUGUGUUAGAUUGACUGAAGUCCUGUUUACCAUUCUAAUACCAAAUUGGAAAAUCAACACCAUCGAAUCCUAACAAGGAAAGUUGUGGCUUCUGAUCCCUCACGUGACUUAAAGUUGUACAGCGAGUGCACAUACAGGGGGCAGUGGCCACACCUUCACCUCCAGAGGGGCCUGGAGUCGGGGCGGGGGGCGGGAAGGCAAGAGGUAGCUUCCAAUUCUUUUGCUAAAGCUAACGAAGGGGAGACUCUCCACCUGCAGCUGCCCUCCCCUCCUCCCACACCACCCAGUACAUCUCCCAGUGCAGAGUUUUCUUAUCAGGUUGUGCCCAGAAGGUUCUGCUCAGAGAUGGC
ensembl:lncRNA